UUUUUACUUAUGGGCACGUUAGGUGAUCAUCCUAUUAUACCCUAUGUUGUACAAUAUAAUAUUUUAAACAAUUAUAUGCAUUUAUUUUGACCGCCUCACGGGUCUGCCGGGAUUUUUGACUAAAAUUCCCUAAUAUUAAGGUUGUUCAUCUCAUACUUCAUCUGAAUCCACACCAAAAAAAUUUAGUUUGGAUAGCUCUACUUAAUAUCAAUAAUAUUUCAAAGAUUUAUUAUCAAAUCGAUAAAACAUUUCAAUAUCCGUCAAGCUGGAACAAAUGACAACGACGUACUUCUUAAAAAGUUCUUGAAUAAAAGAACUCUAAAGCUUAACAAUUUGCAAUAUAGCAUAACUUGAACAACUUGUACAAAUACUAAAAGAUUUGCAUAAAUUUUGGAAUUUACACAAUAUACAAACAUUGCAAAAAUUAGAACUUCAAAACAUCAUAUAACAUUCAUAAAAACAUAAGUCGAAUGAAGUCAAAAAACUUGCUCAAUUACGAAAAAUUAAACAAGAGUUAGAAAAUUGCCUUAAAUAUUCUUUAUAGUUUACGUUAAUUCCCUCUUCAAAUAGCUUACACAAUUCAAUUAACAAUAACACACUAAUUAGCCAAAUAAUGACCAUUUAUAUUGUUUUACUUUAUCUUAUUUCUUAUUCCAUGUUAUUCGUAUUUUACAAAUUAAGCAACGUGAUCUAACUUUAAUAAUGUCGCUCGGCGUUGUGGGGUUUGGGAACAACACGACCCACAUAACUAUCCUCUACGAUAGUUUACUUUCACUUUUACAUAAUAUGUUACACGACUUUAUUUAAAAUAACACAAUUGAAUCUCAAAAGCAUCGAAAGGCAUCGCGAAAUGGCAUGGUGACACACCAGCGGCAUGCCCGUGCACAACCCCAUGGCUUCACAGCCCAUGCGCCCAGCAGCACUUGGCGUUCCCACUCCAUGAGCAACAAUAACACCCCAUGCCGCGCCCGCCCGCACUUCCCACAACCUUGAACAUGCGCCAAGACACUCCCUGCUCUUCACUUCGGUACUUGGAACACUGUAAGACAAGAGUUGCGGCACAUAAAAUAGGUGCUGCGGCGCUUACUCGGCAGAAGCACUUUUUCAACUUUCUCAAAAUUUUUCAGUUUUGAUGCUCAAACUUUCGAGCUUCAUAACUCGCUCACCCGAAGUUAGAAUGAGUUCGUUCUUGAGCCUAUGACUCACUUAUUCAGCGUACUAUCAAACCCCCAGAAAAUCAAUAUUUUUCGAAAGCGUUAGCUACCCAUAAAAUUGGACCGAAUGUUAUACCAACCUAGGAUUUUGCCAUUUUAACAUAAUUUACUAAAAAUUUUGUCAUAACUUCGUUAUAGCGUAUUUUUACUUCAUUCCAUUUGACUUAUUUUCAUAACUCACAUACACAUAUUUCCUUCUUUCAUAAUUAAAAAAUGACUCACACACAAAGAAUUAUACUAGUCCGAUUAACAAUCCAUUACAAAGUUUUCGACCAUCCUUUACGCAUAGGUUUCCUUUUCAUUUUCUGUUCACUUUUCAUGAAAAUUACCAAUGAUUUAACAUAUAUAAACCAUCGCAACAUCUUUAUUCCUCUGGAUCCUUCAUGAUCCUCAAUCAAACUUUAACAACCAAAACCAACAAGCUAAUUAAAAAGAUUUAAAAAGAUGAAUGAUAAUUAGGUUUUAAAGGUUACCUUCUUUGGUUCUCUUCUUGUUCUUUCUAAUGGAUGAUAAAUUAACUUGAUAGCUCAUCUUCCUUCUUCUUACCUCAAUAUCCACCCACUCUCUCUCUUUCUCACUACUCUCAAGUUCUUGCUCUUACUUAGCAAAUUUGGAUGAAAUGAAAUGACUAAGUGAUGGAUGGAUGAUGAAUUGGUAUAUAUAAAAUGACUUUUCAAGAAUCACAAAUUUUUCACUCAACUCUGUCCUUACUAUUCCACCCCCUCAACUCUCUUACUUCUACUAACCCUCCUCUAGGGUUACCUUAAUCAACCUCAAUUCGGCUAACCAAGGGUGGAAAAAUGAUUAAAAACUAAGGUAAAUGGAAAGUUUAGCUUCCUUUUUGACUCAUCCCACAACUGAAUUCCUCCCCCUUUUGUCCUCCUUUUGGCUUUUU
rnacentral:lncRNA from 1 species